rnacentral:rRNA from 1 species
CCUACGGGAGGCAGCAGUGAGGAAUAUUGGUCAAUGGACGCAAGUCUGAACCAGCCAUGCCGCGUGCAGGAAGACGGCUCUAUGAGUUGUAAACUGCUUUUGUACGAGGGUAAACGCAGAUACGCGUAUCUGUCUGAAAGUAUCGUACGAAUAAGGAUCGGCUAACUCCGUGCCAGCAGCCGCGGUAAUACGGAGGAUUCGAGCGUUAUCCGGAUUUAUUGGGUUUAAAGGGUGCGUAGGCGGUCGGUUAAGUUAGUGGUGAAAUUCCGAGGCUCAACUUCGGAAUUGCCUCUGAUACUGGCAGGCUAGAGAGUAGUUGCGGUAGGCGGAAUGUAUGGUGUAGCGGUGAAAUGCUUAGAGAUCAUACAGAACACCGAUUGCGAAGGCAGCUUACCAAGCUACUUCUGACAUUGAGGCACGAAAGCGUGGGGAGCAAACAGGAUUAGAUACCCUUGUAGUC